AUUGAACGCUGGCGGCAGAACUAACACAUGCAAGUCGAGCGAGCGGCGGACGGGUGAGUAAUGUAUGGGGACUGCCCGAUAGCGGGGGAUAACUACUGGAAACUGUGGCUCAUACCGCAUACUAUCGGAUCACCCCAAUUGGAUUAGCUAGUCGGUGGGGUAAAGGCUAACCUAGGCGACGAUCUCUAGCUGGUCUGAGAGGAUGAUCAGCCACCCUGGGACUGAGACACGGCCCAUGCGCGUACGGAGGCAGCAGUGGGGAAUAUUGCACAAUGGGCGCAAGCCUGAUGCAGCCAGGCCGCGUGAAUGAAGAAGGCCUUAGGGUUGUAAAGUACUUUCAGUGGGGAGGCGUUAACCGCAGAAGAAGCACCGGCUAACUCCGUGCCAGCAGCCGCGGUAAUAC
rnacentral:rRNA from 1 species